rnacentral:sRNA from 1 species
GAUAUCAACUGAAGAAAUUAUAAGAGUAGCUGGAGCAAGAUAUGUUCAGUAUUCUGCACAUUGGAAUGAUAGUUUUUGCAUCCCUAUGCACCCAUACGGAUUGGAUUUUGGAUGUUUGUCUGAGGAGGAAAAUAGAGACGUAGAACUUGCUCAGUUUCUCCUUGCUGCAGCUGAGAGGGUAGGUUGCCACCAGUUUGAACGUGCAAGCAGAUUACUUCUCCACUGUCAACUGAAUUCAUCACCCAAUAAUGGAAGCCCCGUUCAAAGAGUUAUCUUUCACUUCGCCCAAGCACUUCGAGAGAGAAUCGACAGAGGACUAGGAAGAACGACAGCGAAGGGAUCAGAGAAAAAAGAAGAAAGGGAGUGGAUUCAAAAGAUUGACACCAAUGUUGCCCUAACAUUCCAUCAAAAUAUUCCUUUCAAUCAAGUCAUGCAAUUCACUGGAAUACAAACUAUAGUGGAACAUGUUGCAUCUGAGACCAAAAUUCAUGUUAUUGAUUUCGAAACAAUAUGUGGGGUGCACAAUACAAUAUUGAUGCAAGCACUGACAGAACGCCAGGAUUGCAAAGUGCAACUUUUGAAGAUAACUGCACUUGCACUUAAUUCAUGCAGAAGCAUGAUACAAGAGACUGGAAAAAGGUUAGCUAGUUUUGCUGAAUCAUUGAACUUACCCUUUUUAUAUAAUGC